rnacentral:rRNA from 1 species
AUUGAACGCUGGCGGCAGGCCUAACACAUGCAAGUCGAGCGGUAGAGAGGUGCUUGCAUCUCUUGAGAGCGGCGGACGGGUGAGUAAUGCCUAGGAAUCUGCCUAGUGGUGGGGGAUAACGUUCGGAAACGGACGCUAAUACCGCAUACGUCCUACGGGAGAAAGCGGGGGAUCUUCGGACCUCGCGCCAUUAGAUGAGCCUAGGUCGGAUUAGCUAGUUGGUGAGGUAAUGGCUCACCAAGGCGACGAUCCGUAACUGGUCUGAGAGGAUGAUCAGUCACACUGGAACUGAGACACGGUCCAGACUCCUACGGGAGGCAGCAGUGGGAAUAUUGGACAAUGGGCGAAAGCCUGAUCCAGCCAUGCCGCGUGUGUGAAGAAGGUCUUCGGAUUGUAAAGCACUUUAAGUUGGGAGGAAGGGUAGUAACCUAAUACGUUAGCUAC